UCAAACCGGCGUAAGCCAGGUUGGUUUCUAUCCUUAAUUAAUUAAAAUAUUUUAGUACGAAAGGAUUAAAUAUUUAAAAUAAUUUUUAUAUAAAGAUUAAAAUUAAU
rnacentral:rRNA from 1 species